CGCAUAAUGGAUGAAAGUGAAGAUUGUGAAGUUAUUGUCACUCCAUCACCAUAAAGCCCAGAUUCUGUGGUAAAAAGAAUGGUGUAACUAUCACCAUUCACUACGGCUGAAGUGGGAAUCAGACAACAGUUUCUGAUGGCCAGACACAUACCGUUUUAUUUCUGGGAUGCUCGGAUAACAGACAUGGUCCUUGGAUGGUUUGCUGAGGGACUCAUCCAAAGGCUGAAAUAGAGAUACAGGACUCCCUGAUUGAACAGCAGUUUGGGAUUUACCUCUUCACAAUCUCCUCAUAAUUCCAUCAGCUGCAGUGAGCCAAGUCUUAUUAUUCAUUCUUGGCUGAGAGGCCAGUUUUAACAGCUGUUUCCCAGAGUUCAUGAAGAGCGAAUAGCAUUGAAAUGUCAUCACUUGCUUUGGAUGGUGUGACGUGACAUGGGGGGGUUUAUGGGUAAAGGUGCAACAUUUGACACAGGAGACAUUGACCUGAGACAAAAAGAUUCCAUGACUACAACAGGCUAAGUUUCAGACUGGCUCCUCAAGGAACCUUCCUUAGGCUUCGCCAUCACUUUCUGCUACUCUCAAUGGCCAGCAGGAAUAGAGCUGGAAUGUGUGAUGAGUGCAUUUCUUCCCUUUCAGCAAUCACAUGCUCCUUCUUCAGGUUUAAAGGGUGGUGCUACCUCAUCUCUUACAUGUGUUUUCCUAUGGGGUGUCGUCAACCCUCAACUGCUAGCCUUUCCUUCACUGACACAAUCUCAUUGCAGGAGAGAAUGAAACUGCAAAAGCCAAACAAGUCCUGAUACCAAAACGAUUAAGUCAAGAUAACAUGUUCAUUUUACACCAGGGGCACGGGUGUUACAUCCACAUGAUUUCUGGCACAUGAAUCUGUGCACUACUUGGGACUGAAUUGUGUAUUCAGCAACUUGUGAAUGUAUGUGACACAUACCUAAUGUACCAACUCCGGCAGCGAAGGAAAUCUUUAUACACAAUAUUCUACCCACUCCUUGGUCAAAAAUAGCAACUGUAUACAGGAAGAUUAAUUCCUUGUGAAAGGGCAGUUCACUAAAUUUCCCAUUGCUCAAAGACUCAGAACAUUUUGAGAAUGACAGUUGACAGUUUCAGUCACACACCAGAUAAUCUCAGACAACAGACUGCAAUGCUUUGGCCAAACUGUUUCAAGAUUUGUGUACUAAGUGGGGAGUGACUGGUAUCAUAUUGUCACCCCACUAUCCUCAUUCAGAUGGUAUAAUAGAACAUAUGUUGUGUACUUUCAAGUCAGUGUGCCAUCCACAGCACAACAUACAUUUGGGAAGCAAAUCAGCCUUGUUCAGAAAUUGUCUAACCAUUCCAAGAUACAGGACUUUCUUCCUCAAAGACAGAGGAGAAUGAAAGUGAUUCAUAAUGAGUGAGCACGUAAAAAAACAAACAAAACCAUACAAUGACCAAAGGUUUUGAGUUAGAAUUUGUAGUGAUUGGAACUAGAUGGACAUUGUUCACUAUAAGAUCCUUGAUUGGAGUUGUUGACCUGGGCCAGUCAGGAAAGCCCUCGCUAAGCAAUAUAGCCAGGAAGUUAGAAUCUCCUCCAUUCAGGGGACUGACUCUGACACAGCCUGGGUACUGUGCACAAGUAAAUAAAGGGUGGCUCGGUGAUAGGAUACUGGCCUCGCUGCAGUUAUCACAGAAAUACAAACACAAAUGCUAAUACUUGGAUACCAGCAAAGGUUUCUCAAAUUUACCGAUCAUAUGAAGUGAUUAUUGAUUAUGGAUCUACAUUGCAAAGGGACAGAAGGCACUCAGACCAAUGUAUGACACACCAAUCAUUCAGCGAGAGAGUGAUCAGGAACGCUCUGUGGCUGAUUGUACACGAUGAUGUUGACUGGCAGGAACCAGCAACAAACCAGCCAAAGUGACAACCAUGUGGCAUGGAAAACAAUGCCUACCUCCUCAGACAACUAUAAGCUCACCAGGUCAAGACAAGUUGCAGACUUCCAAAGUAUUACAUUAUAAACGCAGUUUUACCCCUUUGUAAAAUUAUUGAACUGAGAACACAUGCCUGUGUAUAACCAUGUACAUCUGUUUGAGAUAAGUUUAUAUCUUUAGAGAAAGGGGCAUCAUUAUAUCACAUCUCACAAUCAGAAUUUUUCAAAGACACACUCAUGAUAUUGUUACUGUAUCAUAGCAAGUGACUUGAGGAUGUAAAGAUCUCAUACUCCAUCUUUCCCUGGGAUCACUUGAAGAAUGACACACAUAUGAAAGUGUUCUCUGUGUCAUCUAAUUGCUUAAUGUUUGAAAAAAUAAUUGGGUGCUAUUGUAAUAUUCACACAUAAUA